GACGUAGGGUGCGAGCGUUGUCCGGAUUUAUUGGGCGUAAAGAGCUCGUAGGCGGCUCGUCGCGUCGACCGUGAAAACCUGCAGCUUAACUGUGGGCGUGCGGUCGAUACGGGCAUCACUGGAGUUCGGCAGGGGAGACUGGAAUUCCUGGUGUAGCGGUGAAAUGCGCAGAUAUCAGGAGGAACACCGGUGGCGAAGGCGGGUCUCUGGGCCGAUACUGACGCUGAGGAGCGAAAGCGUGGGGAGCGAACAGG
rnacentral:rRNA from 1 species